AGAGUUUGAUCAUGGCUCAGAGUGAACGCUGGCGGCAGGCCUAAUACAUGCAAGUCGAACGGCAGCACAGCAGAGCUUGCUCUGUGGGUGGCGAGUGGCGGACGGGUGAGGAAUACGUGGGAAUCUGCCCAGUCGUGGGGGAUAACGUAGGGAAACUUACGCUAAUACCGCAUGCGCCCUUCGGGGGAAAGCCGGGGACCUUCGGGCCUGGCGCGAUUGGAUGAGCCCACGUCGGAUUAGCUAGUUGGCGGGGUAAAGGCCCACCAAGGCGACGAUCCGUAGCUGGUCUGAGAGGAUGAUCAGCCACACUGGAACUGAGACACGGUCCAGACUCCUACGGGAGGCAGCAGUAGGGAAUAUUGGACAAUGGGCGCAAGCCUGAUCCAGCCAUGCCGCGUGAGUGAAGAAGGCCCUCGGGUUGUAGAGCUCUUUUGUCCGGAAAGAAAAGCGCCGGGUUAAUACCCUGGUGUCCUGACGGUACCGGAAGAAUAAGCACCGGCUAACUUCGUG
rnacentral:rRNA from 1 species